AUGACAUCAGUUUAUUAUGUUUUAGUUAAUGAUACCGGAUCCCUGCCAUCUCACCCUAGCACAGCGUUUGCAUUAACAUCUUCCUGUAAGAGCUGCUUCUCAGUUAAUAUGGCAGCAUGAUGCUCUAAAUAUUCUUUGCUAUUCAUCUCUGUCAAUCUACUAAUUGUACGGUCUUUUGCAAAUCCCAGUUCAUUGUCUACACAGAGGUCAGAAUCAUCAUUUCUCCUUGAUCUCGUGGAGGUUCUAGGUGCCAUUUGUUUUGCAUCAGAAACUGUAACAACCUUUCUAAAAAGUUCUAGAGGACUCCCCUCCGCUGUACACAAUAGCCUGGCCCUGUUCUCAUACAUUACAUCAACCAAAGUGACAAACCGAUAUGCUGCUGUCCUGUUGUGAAGUCCAAAGAUUGGGACACCUUCCAAUGCCAGGGUAUGGAAGUUCUUGAACAAUCCAAAAUAAUCUGCAGCUCCAAGAGGCUUGUCACACAAUUCCUCAAAGGAAAAAUAUGCACAUCCAUCAGCACCCAGUGGAACCUGCAAUGUCCUUCCCAUUACUACUUCCACCUCUUGGGGACCAGCUGUUUGCUCCCCAACCAAUUCUUGAAACUUUAGCUUAAGGAGGCCCGAUAAAUCUUUACCAACAAAGUAGAAACCUUGCUCAGCCGAUGUCAUCUUCCGAUAGUCUACUAAUGAACCAAUUUCAUGAACCACACAUCUUUCCUUCAAAGUUGCAAUAAAGGGUAGAAAAAGAUCUCUCUGCAAUCCACCUUCAUAAAGAUUAUCAGGAGCACGAUUUGAGGUCGCCACAAGAAUAAUGCCAUUGCUGAAUAGAUGUCUGAAUAAACGGUUCAAUAUCAAUGCAUCUGCAACAUCAGUCACCAUGAAUUCAUCUAGACAUAAUAA
rnacentral:misc_RNA from 1 species